AGGGGGCGAGCGUUGUCCGGAAUUAUUGGGCGUAAAGCGCGCGCAGGCGGUCUCUUAAGUCUGAUGUGAAAGCCCACGGCUCAACCGUGGAGGGUCAUUGGAAACUGGGGGACUUGAGGGCAGGAGAGGAGAGCGGAAUUCCACGUGUAGCGGUGAAAUGCGUAGAGAUGUGGAGGAACACCAGUGGCGAAGGCGGCUCUCUGGCCUGUACCUGACGCUGAGGCGCGAAAGCGUGGGGAGCAAACAGGAUUAGAUACCCUGGUAGUCCACGCCGUAAACGAUGAGUGCUAAGUGUUAGAGGGGUCACACCCUUUAGUGCUGCAGCUAACGCGAUAAGCACUCCGCCUGGGGAGUACGGCCGCAAGGCUGAAACUCAAAGGAAUUGACGGGGGCCCGCACAAGCGGUGGAGCAUGUGG
rnacentral:rRNA from 1 species